GGUCAUGGCUUAGUGGCAGAGCACUUGCCUAGCAUGCGUGAGGCACUGGGUUUGAAUCUCAGCACCA
rnacentral:tRNA from 1 species